rnacentral:rRNA from 1 species
UACGAGGGGUCCUAGCGUUGUUCGGAAUCAUUGGGCGUAAAGAGUCUGUAGGCGGUCUUGUAAGUCAGGUGUGAAAGCCCCGGGCUCAACCCGGGAACUGCGUCCGAUACUGGGAGGCUUGAAUCCGGGAGAGGGAUGUGGAAUUCCAGGUGUAGCGGUGAAAUGCGCAGAUAUCAGGAGGAACACCGGUGGCGAAGGCGGAUCUCUGGGCCAUUACUGACGCUGAGGAGCGAAAGCGUGGGGAGCGAACAGG